UGGGGGAUAUUGCACAAUGGGCGAAAGCCUGAUGCAGCGACGCCGCGUGGGGGAUGAAGGCCUUCGGGUUGUAAACUUCUUUUGCUCUGAACAAGGCAUGCCUUUGGGGUGUGUUGAGUGUAGGGGUUGAUUAGCGCCGGCUAACUACGUGCCAGCAGCCGCGGUAAUACGUAGGGCGCGAGCGUUGUCCGGAAUUAUUUGGCGUAAAGGGCUUGUAGGUGGCUGGUUGCGUCUGUCGUGAAAGCUCAUGGCUUAACUGUGGGUUUGCGGUGGGUACGGGCUGGCUUGAGUGCAGUAGGGGAGGCUGGAAUUCCUGGUGUAGCGGUGGAAUGCGCAGAUAUCAGGAGGAAAACCGGUGGCGAAGGCGGGUCUCUGGGCUGUUACUGACGCUGAGGAGCGAAAGCGUGGGGAGCGAACAGG
rnacentral:rRNA from 1 species